rnacentral:rRNA from 1 species
UACGGAGGGGGCUAGCGUUGUUCGGAAUUAUUGGGCGUAAAGGGCGCGUAGGCGGCCCUGUAAGUCAGUGCUGAAAUAUCCCGGCUUAACCGGGAGGGUGGCAUUGAUACUGCGGGGCUAGAGUACAGAUGAGGUAGGCGGAAUUGACGGUGUAGCGGUGAAAUGCUUAGAUAUCGUCAAGAACACCUAUAGCGAAGGCAGCUUACUAGGCUGUAACUGACGCUGAGGCACGAAAGUGUGGGGAUCAAACAGG